AUAGAACGCUGGCGGCAUGCCUUACACAUGCAAGUCGAACGGCAGCACGGGAGCAAUCCUGGUGGCGAGUGGCGAACGGGUGAGUAAUACAUCGGAACGUGCCCAGUAGUGGGGAUAGCCCGGCGAAAGCCGGAUUAAUACCGCAUACGACCUGAGGGUGAAAGCGGGGGAUCGCAGGACCUCGCGCUAUUGGAGCGGCCGAUGUCGGAUUAGCUAGUUGGUGGGGUAAAGGCCUACCAAGGCUACGAUCCGUAGCUGGUCUGAGAGGACGACCAGCCACACUGGGACUGUGACACGGCCCAGACUCCUACGGGAGGCAGCGGUGGGGAAUUUUGGACAAUGGGGGCAACCCUGAUCCAGCCAUGCCGCGUGCGGGAAGAAGGCCUUCGGGUUGUAAACCGCUUUUGUCAGGGAAGAAAUACUUUGGGUUAAUACCUCGGAGUGAUGACGGUACCUGAAGAAUAAGCACCGGCUAACUACGUGCCAGCCGCCGCCGUAAUAC
rnacentral:rRNA from 1 species